AUGAGGCACGGUGAAGACAUCAAGGAUGAGUAUGAGCAGCCUGCGUUUGCCCUGGUGAACAAGGCCACCGGUGAAGCCAUCCAGCAUUCCCUGGAAAAGGGCCACCCUGUUCGCCUUGCGGCAUACGACCCGGACUGCCCGGACGAGUCGGUGAUGUGGAGGGAGAGCGAGGACGUCGGCGACGACUUCCACUGCAUCCGCAUGGCGAGCAACAUCCAGCUCAACUUCGACGCCGUCCAUGGCGGCGACGACGAGAGCGUGGUGCAGGACGGCACCACCAUCCUCCUGUUUGACUGGGUUGAGGGAGACAACCAGCGCUGGAGGAUCGUUCCCUGAGAGCCAGAGUCAUCAAGUGUUCUGCCGGCCGCUCCGCCGAGAAUAAAACUGGUCGGCGGCGACCCGGGCCGCUUCUUUUUUUUUGCCACCCUUUCACUCGUUAGUCCGACGGGCAUGGAUCACUAG
rnacentral:rRNA from 1 species